AACUGGGUUUAAUGCUUUGUUAAAUCUGUUUCUAUUCUAGAGGAGACAGGAGCUGCAGGUAUGCAUGCUCUCCCUCUGCAGUUGGCAGUCUUCCAAGGCACUUUAAGAAGGCGUCACAGUUCCCAGGGAAGGAAGAAGAAUCAACCUGGAGGACUUUAUCACAAACAGCUGGAGAAAGGGAAGAAAGGGUGGAGUUUCAUUGGGUUCUAUUUUUAAAGAAGACAAAGAAUUUAUUCACUCCCAUGACACGAAGAUCGCCUACUCCAGCUUCUAACUCAACCAUCUGCUUAAUUCCCAUCACAUGGGCAGGUGAUUACUCUACCUAUUUCAAGGAGUUCAGCACACUUUUUAAAACUG
rnacentral:lncRNA from 11 species